rnacentral:lncRNA from 1 species
AGCUUCUAGGAUUUGCAGAAAAAUGGCUCAUCAUUACCAGCUAUCCUCCCUUUUACUGCUUGCAUUUCUCAACUUGUGCUUCAUCCAUGGCCCGAUAACUGGUGCAACUGCACGUCGUCAUCUGGAGACGCCCCUCCCCGAGAUUCCUAAACCAGAGUUCCCUAAAAUUCCAACUUUGCCAAAGCCUGAGAUCCCAGCUGUGCCGAAGCCUGAGCUUCCAACCAUACCAAAGCCUGAAAAACCAGUUGUUCCAAAGCCUGAGAUUCCUAUUAUGCCAAAACCUGAAGUACCAACUGUGCCAAAGCCCGAGCUACCAUCCAUCCCGAAGCCCGAGUUACCAACUUUUCCAAAGCAUGAGAUCCCAGCUGUGCCCAAGCCUAAGUUACCAGUUGCCCCAAAGCCUGAGUUCCCAACUGUGCCAAAGCCUGAGAUCCCAGCAAUGCCAAAACCCGAGUUUCCUCCCCUAAAAAAGCCAGAAAUCCCAACAAUGCCAAAGACCGAGGUUCCUCCAGCUAUAAAAAAGCCUGAAGUUCCAGCUUUGCCAAAGCCCGAGAUACCAAUUGUGCCAAAACCAGAAAUCCCAGAACUACCAAAGCCAAAAAUCCCGGAGCUACCAAAGCCAAAACUACCAGAGCUUCCAAAGCCCGAAGUCCCAGCUAUGCCAAAGCCUAAAAUCCCAGAACUGCCUAAACCAAAAGAGAUACCUUUUCCUUCACUUUCUCCACCUCACAAGCCCGCUACUCCUUGAGUAAUUACAAUGCACCCAAUCGUGUUUUGAGAUUUCCAUCUUUGUCUGUGAAGUUUGCUACGAGGGCAUGGCAUGGAGAUAGUUUGGCACAACAUAUUAAUACUUUCUGCAAGAAGUGGAAAUUAUGAUUCUUUUAUAGCAUUUAAUUGGAUGUACCAUGUUUCAUUGGAUGUAUCAUGUUUAUCGUGUCAUUAUAUCAUGAAUGUUUUAUGUACUUUCAAUACAGUGUUUAUCUAUGUCACUUUUUAGAGUUAUUUUUAUUUAGUUCCUAUCUUUGGCCAUAUCUGAUUUUACUCAAUUGCCUUUUUCCCCUACUCCCCUUCGUUUAAUUAAAACCUAUUACUACUUUCUUCCUUCACAAAGAGAUGGAAAGGAUGAAUUAACAUAUUUAAGCGCCGGUAGAAUAAUCUGAUCUCAAAUACAAGAACUGAACCAAAUAUUCAAGCAUUUGUUGCUUUCUGUCUCAUUCAUCCUAAUGCACACCGGAUUCAGUUACAAAUUUUGCAUGCUCUAAAAGAAACAUAAAAAACAAUGGGGAUACUUGCUUCUUCUUAAGGGGGAGAUUGUUCUUAUGGAGCAAUUUAUAGUUAUGGACAAAUGAACUAGCUAAAAUUUCUCUUAGCACAUUCCUUAUAAAAACAAUUCUCUAAAACAUUAUUGCGCGACCAUCUCAUCUAAAAUUCAAGUUUAUUUCCCUAACAAUAUGAAAACUUUUUAGUAAUAGGUCGUGGUAAGUCUUGAAUCUCGUACCUCUAUCUGCUUUAAUCCAUGUUAAAUUGUGUGACCAUGUCAUCUAAAAGAAAACUAACUGUUAGAAAGGGUACAUUUCCAUUUAGUUGAACAAAUCUUCAAUAAUCUUAACCUUUUGAAUUAUCUUUUUUCAUUUCUCCAGUACUAAACCAAUAUGGAGUACAUAUUUCUAUUUCUAGUAAACAAUCAGUCUCUUUCGGUGAACUUCCUAAACUUUCCGACGGAUUAAAGACAAAAGCUGAAGCGGAGCUCACACUUCAGGGUAGUUACAACGAGAAUAGAUAUUGUACCUUUGAGCGGUGCACUCAUGGUUGUGAGAAGAACUCUAGAGUGGAUAAUCUUGUCUCUAUUAAAAGUCGGGAACUGUGUAGCUGAAUCUCUUCUAAUACCUUGUUUAUGUUUUUGUCUGAAUUUACUUGUAUUAACAAUCUCAUUGUUUCUUUGAUGAAAGGCUGAAUGUGAUAUAACUGUCAAGCGCCAGAUCCGUUUACCAAUUGUAAAAGAACCUUCUGCUGUCUGCUUUCUGUACAGCUGCCUCAUUGUUAUUUUACCUGGCUCAAUAUCGAGAUCAAUGCUAUAUGCAAUGCAACUAUUCACGUGUCUGGAUUUGAUAUGCUAUUGUUUCAGCUAUUGUCUAUUUUCAUUUCCUGGAGAAUCGUACUCUAAACUUUCAAAAGUGUAUCAUUUGAACCGAAAGAAUAAUCGGAUUAUGCAAAGUCUACGCCAUUGUGGUAAGUUUUUGCUCUGUAAAACCAAGUUCUUUUCUCCCUGUGUUUUAAUCCGUUAGGCUUGAAGUCUCACUCUUUUGCCUUCCUUUGUACUUACAAUUCUAAUAUUAGCUAGUUUAGAAAAUAGAAUAACGGGUAAUAUGUGACUAAUGAGGUAAGUUUACGGUUCACUUCUGGUCGUCCAUUUCAUCAUGUUUGCAAUACCUUUUUGUUUGACAUUUGUAAUUCCUGUCAAUUUCCUCAGGUGGCCAUUACGUACAUACGACCAAAAUGAAGAUUUACAGUAAAUGCACCAAUGACUUUUCUUUUUCUAAAGAAAUAAGAACAGCUAAUUAAACCGGGAAUUGGUAUCAGGUUGACAGCAUAUCAUAUAUUGGUGACAGUUUCAGACUUUUAAUAUGUUAUUAGGUAAUCCACAUUGACUUUUUGAGGUACCAGAGAUUACGCCAAGUGGAUGAGAAGUUCAACUACUCAGGUCCUUACGUAACAAACAAAAUCUUGAAGCUACUGUUGCAUGCGUUUUAAAACCUAUAUAUAGCAAUAGACUUAAAGCCAGUAGCACACAUCCCAGUUUCAUUAAUUCUACACAUUUUCUCUAAGCUUCUAGGAUCUGCAGAAAAAUGGCUCACCAUUACCAGCUAUCCUCCCUCAUGCUACUUGCAUUUCUCAACUUGUGCUUCAUGCAUGGCCCCAUAACUGGUGCAACUGCACGGCGUCUACUAGAGACACCUCUACCUGAGAUUCCUAAACCAGAAUUACCAAAAGUUCCAACCUUGCCAAAGCCUGAGAUCCCAACUGUGCCGAAACCUGAGAUUCCAGCCAUUCCAAAGCCUGAGAUCCCAACUGUGCCGAAACCUGAGCUUCCAACCAUCCCAAAGCCUGAAAUACCAGUUGUCCCGAAGCCUGAGACUCCUAUUAUGCCAAAACCUGAAGUACCAAUUGUGCCAAAGCCCGAGCUACCAUCCAUCCCGAAGCCUGAGUUACCAACUUUACCAAAGCCUGAAGUACCAACUGCGCCAAACCCUGAGCUACCAACCAUCCAAAAACAUGAGUUACCAACUUUGCCAAAACCUGAAGUACCAACUGUGCCUAAGCCAGAGACUGUCCCGAAGCCUGAGAUUCCUAUUAUACCAAAACCUGAAGUACCAACUGUGCCAAAGCCCGAGCUACCAUCCAUCCCGAAGCCUGAGAUCCCAACUGUGCCGAAACCUGAGCUUCCAACCAUCCCAAAGCCUGAAAUACCAGUUGUCCCGAAGCCUGAGACUCCUAUUAUGCCAAAACCUGAAGUACCAAUUGUGCCAAAGCCCGAGCUACCAUCCAUCCCGAAGCCUGAGUUACCAACUUUACCAAAGCCUGAAGUACCAACUGCGCCAAACCCUGAGCUACCAACCAUCCAAAAACAUGAGUUACCAACUUUGCCAAAACCUGAAGUACCAACUGUGCCUAAGCCAGAGAUACCAGCUGCCCCAAAGCCUCCAACUUUGCCAAAGCAUGUGAUCCCAGCUGUGCCAAAACCCGAGCUUCCUGCUAUGCCAAAGCCUGAGAUUCCAACAAUGCCAAAACCCGAGUUUCCUCUCUUGAAAAAGUCAGAAAUCCCAGCAGUGACAAACACGAAGGUUCCUCCAACAAUAAAAAAGCCUGAAGUUCCAGCUUUGCCAAAGCUAGAAAUCCCAGAGCUACCAAAGCCAAAACUCCCAGAGCUUCCAAAGCCUAAAAUCCCCGAACUGCCUAAACCAGAAGUUCCAGCUAUGCCAAAGCCUAAAAUCCCCGAACUGCCUAAACUAACUUUUCCUUCACUUUCUCCCCCAUACAAACCCUCUACUCCUUGAGUAAUUACGUUCACUCUAUUAGAAAGUACCCAAACUGAUGCUUUGAGAUUGCUAUCUCAGUCUAUGAAGUUUGCUGCAUGGGCCGUGACAUGGAGAAAUUUUGGAAGAUCAUACUGGAUACUUUCUGCUAGGUGUAGAAUAUAAAUUCAUUUGUCGUAUUUGAUGUGCCAUGUUUCGCCGGUCAUUAUAUUGUAUACGAGUGUUUUAUGUUCUUUUUAUAUAAAGAUAUGAUCUAUUUCACAGUUUGGACUUACUUCGAUUUAGUUCCUUUCGUUGGCCAUCUCUGAUUUCAAUCAUUGUUUGUCUGAUUUUUCCCACUUCUGUUUUUCUCUAUCCUAUUACUACUUUUUUCCAUUCUCAUUUGACAUUUUGAUGUAUUUAAGAACCAAACCCGGAGAUUUAGGAUGUGUUUUGGUAUAACGGAAAUUAAUUUUCAUAAAAAAUAUUUCCUUAGAAAAUAGAUAGUAAUUUUAUUUAUUUUUCUGUGUUAAGUACACAAAUUAAGAAAAAUAACGUCUCAAGAGUAUUCAUAAAUAAUUUAGAUACAAUAAAUAUGAAGCCAUAAACUUCCGAACCAACAAACUUCCGAACCUACAAAUUUCAUAAACUUUCGAAACUGCUAACUUUCGAACCCGUAAACUUUAUAAAUAUUUCUAAACCCGUAAAUUACUUUAAAUAUUUAACUAAAAUUAAUCUAAAGUAACAAAGAGAUCAAGAAAACAAGUUGGUGAAUUAUAGAGACGAAUUUAAUAUGAGUGAAUAUUCUAGAGCUAUGGGUUAGCUAACAAUUCCGUUGAGUUUUUAAUUUAAAUCGUCUAAUUAAUUUAUCUGAUUAAUUGGUUGACAGAGUUAAUAUUGCUCGUAGCCUUCUCCCGAAGUACAACUCGCCUAUUCAAGCUAACCUAAAGCCUAUAUUCCUAUGGAAUUAAAAUUAACAAGAACACAUUUAUAAUUCCUGUAUAGUAAUCAAGCAAACCGAUUAGGCAUAUUCAACCGAUUAGGUAUAUUCCUAUGGAAUUAGAAUUAACAAGAACGCAUUUAUAAUUCCUGUAUAGUAAUCAAGCAAGGCGAUUAGGUAUAUUCCUAUCCUAACCGCAAAUUCGCUCCCCCCUCCCCCAAGAGUUAAGAUUUUGCUCUACUCAAUCUUAUAUGCAAUCUAGAAUUCCUUCUCUCGAGUUCAAUCCUAGAUCUGUAGAUAGUAUUUAAUUGGUGAUCAAGCAAUCAAAUAAUUUAGCGCAAGAUUGAAUAAAUAAACCAAUAUGAUAAAAUAAUAGGAACAAUCUAAGCUUCAAACUACAACGUUCAUGUAGCAUCCAAAACUCUAGAACUAAUAAACUGUGAGAUUAAAUGAAGAGAAGAGAAGAAAAACUAGUUAGGAGCCUCCUCCAAAGCGUGGUGUGUUCCUCCACGUGAAUUCCCCUUCAAAAUAUGUUCCCUAGGUCUAAGAUCUGUCAUAUGUAUGUCCCACCUCUCUAAAAUAGCGUUUUACAUGUAUUUAUACCAAGUAGGGUCGGGUCCAGAGGGAACAUCUGUCAAAAGUAUGCCCUACCUCUCCAAAAUAAUUAUACCAAGUAGGGUCAGGCCCAGAUAAAAACACCUUCUCCCGCGCGAAAUAGGACUCUGGCUCUGUAAGUUUUGUACAGACGCGCCGCGCCAUGCAGCGCGCUAACGGAGUUUAUCGGCAAGCUGUACUUUUCUUGUCUUGCGACAUUUUACACUGCUGCGUCGUGCCUUGCGGCGUCCUAUGCGGCGCUACAGUUUAAUUUUCUCAGAGUGAACAUAUUUCGUCCUCUUUUAACAUCCAGACAUGGUACACCACCUCUGAACACGAUUCCGACUUGAUUCCUUGGGCUUUUACUCAGACUUUAAAGCUCUAAAUCACUUGAAUACAUUCCAUAACGCAUACAUAGAUCGAAAUCACUCCUACAAGGCAUAAAAUACAUAUUUAGUGCAACACACUAGCGAUUAAAGCUCAAACUCAAUUAAAGUACAGUAAAUUAGAGUGUAAUAAGCGUCUAAAAUACACAAUAAUAGCCCAUCAUCAACACCCUACACUUAAAUCAUUGCUCGUCCUCGAGCAAUCAAACAUUACUUUAUAUAGACACAAUCUUUUUUAAACAAUUCUCCUAAAUCAUCACACCAAGAAUAUUUAAAAUAGACUAAGCACAAGAGUGUAACAUAUUCACCUCAAGAUCUGACUCACAAGUAUCACGCAUUAUUCACAACUCACUCACUUACUCUAACAUAGAAGUCACGGAAACUGCCUUUCCUUCGUGAACCAGGUGCUCUCACACAACAAAAGUGAGUAGUUUCACACAAUAAAAUUUAAGAACACUUAGGAACACAAGAUAAAAAGAAUUCACUCACUCUCAGAAAUAACAUUCAUAUGCCACAGAAGAUGCAUCAUAGGCUUAACUGUAGUGUAUUACUCUACUAAUCGAGCUUAUUCAGUCUAGGAUCAAGUAUGACUUUAUUUGGUUGUAAUGUAGGCUGCAGGAUGGGUAGGAUACAUUUAGAUAUAAUAGUGACUAUACAUCCCUAAGCACUUCAAUACAUACACUUUAACAUUGAAAAGCCCACACUUAUGUCGAACCAUAACUCCACAUUCACACCAAUAUAUAUUAACUCUCCACUUCUUUAAGUACAAUUAUAUCAAGAGUCACCACCACCAUCUAGAAUUAUUUUUCGCAACAAUACAACUAAUUUUUUUUCUUUUCAAUUCACGUGGCUCUUACUUUUUCAAAACAAUGCACCUUUCUCCUUUUUCAUUAGUUCAAAUCAAAAGUCAAACCAACCACCCCCACUUUAACUUUUAUAAAGUUCAUAACAAUUCAAAUGCUCAUGAGAGGUGAAAAGGUUCAAAUAGAUGGUAGUUCAAAAAAAUAGGCAAGACGUGUAAUGUGGUUGCCAAAGAAACAGGAUUAUAGACUCAAAUAGGUUAACAAUGAUAAUAAAAAUUAGGCGGGUAUAUAUAUAUGGCUCAACAAAGAAACGCAUAUAUCACUUCCAAGACUGAACAAAACUACUAUUUCGCUUUGCAAACACAUGGGGCAAGUUCUAGACAUCAAAUGCAUUGCACAGAAUAACACAAAACCUUGCACACACAUAACACAUAAAUCACUCAGGAUUGGACACAUCAAGAUACUCUAGUCAAAGAAGUUAAGCAAAGUUAAGAUCAUACAAUUUAAGGUACUUAUAAAAGAGUUAAAAACUGAGCCUAAGCGUUACAACCAAAGUACUCACUAUUCUCAAGGCAUAACAAUUCAAGAGAUAUUGCUUCAAUUCAAUUCACAUCACCAUGGCUUCUCUCCUAAAAAAAAUAAAAAUACCUACAUCCGGUUCAAACAAAACCCUUGGAAACGAACCGCAACACAAAGAAAAACCAAUGGGAAAUUACUACACUACCUACAAAAAAAUCUUUUUGUCAUUUUUCUUUAGACUUAAAUCCCUCAAGAAAACUGCCUAGGAGAUCCAUCGUCGGAAAAAAUUCAAUUUACUUUUUUACGUUUUUCUAAAUACAAAAAAAUUAUUUAAUUAAACUAACACAACUAAAAUAGCAUAGAAAGUCACUUAGACAUUCUCCUCGCCCCACACUUUAAAUUGUGCAAUGUUCUCAAUGCACACUAUAACUAAUAAGAGGGUAAAAGAGACUCCCUGAUAGGCCAAAGGCCGAAACAUUAGUAUCUCACGAGAUACUCAUACUUCUCCCAGGUAUGCUCCUUUGUGCGGGUACCUCACACUUUGUUUUAACCAAAUGCUCUCCUUUACACAUGCCUAUUGGCUAUGACUUCAUGCUCCUACUCCUACAAAAUACAAAAAUAAUAAUACAAAUAUAAUACAAUAAAAAAAUACAAAAGGAAAAAAAUAAAAUUGAGUUGCCUCCCAAGAAGCAUUUGAUUUAACGUCGCGGCACGACUCCAUCACUUUCAUCACUUUUCCUUCCACUUAGAAGAUAUGAAUUGUGCCCCCAAUUUGGCAUCAAUUUUUCUAUUAUGUUCAUGAGGCGGUGGUGUGAAAAUAAAGAAACCAAACAAAAUAUGUCGCAUCUUCCACUACUUGACCCUUAAGUGAGGAAUGUUGUUUUGUUUCCUUGGCAUCACAAACUUCAGAAUGUAAGGGUCUUGUUCUUCAUCUAUACAUCUCUCCAAGGGUUCGAUCUCCAUGUCUUCAUCCAAACAUAAUGUAGAAAAAUGUAUAAAAUGAGGACCAACACGCCCCAACUCUAAAACUGCAUUAUUUUUUACAUCCUCAGUAAUACAUACUCCCUCAACCUCGGCAUCAUCAACAAAAACAUGGUCUAGUGAUUGGUAUCCUCGUUUUAGCUCCUCAAUUUGGCUUAAAAGAAUUUUUUCAGCUUCACAAAACUCAUCAUUAAAUUGUUGGACAUUACAUGCAUCAACCUUUGCACUCAAUUGGGCUUCCAAGUCGCGAAUAAAUUUUGCCAAAGUGAUUGAUCUCUUGUCCCAGUUCAGCUCUUCCUUCUAUAAAGUGUUAUAUCUCAUUCGUAAUUUUCUCACGGAAACCUCCAUAUUCCUCUAAUAAUUUCAUGUGCACAUCAGGAAUGCGAACAUCAUGUUCAACAUCUUACAAUUCGUUACUCCUUUCAAACUCACAAGAAUUAUAAUUAGAAUCAACACAAGAAGGGACUGGAGUAGGAUAACAACACGUAGGACAAUUGUUCCAAUUUCCAUCACAAAUAGUACAAGAUGAAAAUGGUGCACACAACUCAGUAGUAGGAAUAUUUUUACAAUAUUGCCACAAGUGGAGUCCUUUACAAUAUGGACAAGGAUCACAAAAAUAAGAAUAUUUACUAUCCCACCACUUUUCGUUCAAAGAUGUCAUGUAAAAAGAAAUAUAACACUAACUCCACUAAACUAAAAUUAAAAACUGAAAUAGAUAAAAAAGUAAAAAAUUUAAUCUAGUAAAAUAGUUAAUUUCUAAGUCCCCGGCAACGGCACAAAAAAUUUAUUGCUCCCAAACGCACGCGCAAGUAUACGUGGUCGAGAAGUAAUAUAGAAUUGUAAGUCCAGAUAUCGUACCCACAUGGACUUGUGAUUAACUAUCAACUAAAUUAGACCAAAUAAUCCUAAUGUAUAAAUAUUUAACUAAAAUUAAUCUAAAGUAACAAAUAGAUCAAAGAAAAUAAGUUGACGAAUUAUAAAGGCGAAGUUAAUGCGAGUGAAUAUUCUAGAGCUAUGGGUUAGCUAACAAUCCCGUUGAGUUUUUCACUUAAAUCUUCUAACUAAUUUAUCUGGUUUAUUGGUUAACAGGGUUAAUAUUGCUCAUAGUCUUCUCCCGAAGUACAACUCAUCUAUUCAAGCUAACCUAACGCCUAUAUUCCUAUGGAAUUAUAAUUAACAAGAGCACAUUUGUAAUUCCUGUAUAGUAACCAAGCAAGGCGAUUAAGUAUAUUCUUAUCCUAACCGCAAAUCUGCCCCCUUAAGAGUUAAGAUCUUGCUCUACUCAAUCUUAUAUGCAAUCUAGAAUUCCCUCUCCCGAGUUCAAUCCCAGAUUCGUUGAUAGUAUUUAAUUGGUGAUCAAGCAAUCAAAUAAUUAAGCGCAAGAUUGAAUAAAUAAACCAAUAUGAUAAAAUAAUAAGAACAAUCUAAGCUACAAACUAUAACGUUCGUACAACACCCAAAACUUUAGAACUAAUAAACUAUGAGAUUAAAUUAAGAGAAGAGAAGAAAAACUAGUUAGGAGCCUCCUCCAAAGCGUGGUGUGUUCCUCCACGUGAAUUCCCCUUCAAAAUAUGUUCCCUAGGUCUAAGAUCUGUCAUAUGUAUGUCCCACCUCUCUAAAAUAGCGUUUUACAUGUAUUUAUACCAAGUAGGGUCGGGUCCAGAGGGAAACACCUUCUCCCGCCCGAAAUAUGACUCUGUAAAUUUUGUACAGAUGUGGCGCGCCAUGCGGCGCGCUAAUGGAGGUUAUUAGCAAGCUUGACUUUUCUUGUCAGGCAGCAUUUUACACUGCUGCGCUGCGCCUUGCAGCGUCCCAUGCAGUGCGGCAGUGUAAUUUUUUCAAAGUGAACUUAUUUCGUCCUCUUUGAACAUCCGGACUUGGUACACGAUCUCGACUUAAUUCCUUGGAUUUUUACUUAGACUUCAAAGCUCCAAAUCACUUGAAUACAUUCUAUAACACCUACAUAGAUCGAAAUCACUCUUACAAUGCAUAAAAUACAUAUUUAGUGCAAAAUACUAGUGAUUAAAGCUCAAACUCAAUUAAAAUAUAAUAAAUUAAAAUGUAAUAAGCAAUUAAAAUAAACAAUUAUAGCAUAUCAUCACAAGUCAUGAGGCGUUUUCUUUUGCCCGCCUCUGUUUUACUUUCACUAAAUUAGAAAAGCAACAAAUAUAGAAAGGACAUCAAUCACAUUGUGAUUGCAAAUUUAGAGUUAAUAAAAUAACGUGUAAGGUAUUUUUUUAACACAUUUUGCUUCCUGGAUGAUCAUAUUAAUUAGCUGUAGAUCCAACAAUUCUUUAGCUGCAUUGAAAAAUGCGACGCAGAGAUUAAUUUCUUUGCAAGGAAGUUGAAGCAACGGACCAAUACUGUUUUCUAACAAGUGGCAGCUAAUUAGAUGAGAUAAUGACAGGUUUUGACUAUUAUGGCAUAGUAGUAGAUAGUAUAUUGUUAUUUGUUAAUAAACAGAUUUUGAGCUGCCAGAAGAAAAAUUUCAAGAUAAUAUUGGCAGGCAAAUAGAUGAGAAGUUCAACUAACAUAUCCCUUUCCCAACAACCAAAAUAUUGAAGUCCUACUUUUGUUGCAUGAAUGUAAAACCUAUAUAUAGCAACAGCCUUAUAUCCAAUGCCACAUCCAAAUUUCACUGAUUCUAUACACACUCUUCUUUAAGCUGCUAGGAUUUGCAGAAAAAUGGCUCAUCAUUAUCAGCUAUCCUCCCUCUUACUGCUUGCAUUUCUCAAUUUAUGCUUCAUGAAUGGCCACAUAACAUGUGUUACUGCACGCCGCCUUCUGGAGGCGCCCCUCCCUGAUAUUCCUAAACCAGAAUUUCCAAAAGUUCCAACCUUGCCAAAGCCUGAGAUCCCAACUGUGCCGAAGCCUGAGAUUCCAGCCAUACCAAAGCCUGAAAUUCCUGUUAUGCCAAAGCCUGAAGUACCAACUGUGCCGAAGCCUGAGCUGCCAACUGUCCCAAAGCCUGAGUUACCAACUUUACCAAAACCCGAGAUCCCAACUGUGCCAAAGCCCAAGCUUCCAGCUAUGCCAAAGCCUGAGAUCCCAGCAAUGCCAAAAC